AGUGAACGCUGGCGGUAGGCCUAACACAUGCAAGUCGAACGGCAGCACAGUAAGAGCUUGCUCUUACGGGUGGCGAGUGGCGGACGGGUGAGGAAUACAUCGGAAUCUACUUUUUCGUGGGGGAUAACGUAGGGAAACUUACGCUAAUACCGCAUACGACCUACGGGUGAAAGCAGGGGAUCUUCGGACCUUGCGCGAUUGAAUGAGCCGAUGUCGGAUUAGCUAGUUAGCGGGGUAAAGGCCCACCAAGGCGACGAUCCGUAGCUGGUCUGAGAGGAUGAUCAGCCACACUGGAACUGAGACACGGUCCAGACUCCUACGGGAGGCAGCAGUGGGGAAUAUUGGACAAUGGGCGCAAGCCUGAUCCAGCCAUACCGCGUGGGUGAAGAAGGCCUUCGGGUUGUAAAGCCCUUUUGUUGGGAAAGAAAAGCAGCAGGUUAAUACCCCGCUGUUCUGACGGUACCCAAAGAAUAAGCACCGGCUAACUUCGUG
rnacentral:rRNA from 1 species